rnacentral:rRNA from 1 species
AGUGAACGCUGGCGGUAGGCCUAACACAUACAAGUCGAACGGCAGCACAGUAAGAGCUUGCUCUUACGGGUGGCGAGUGGCGGACGGGUGAGGAAUACAUCGGAAUCUACUUUUUCGUGGGGGAUAACGUAGGGAAACUUACGCUAAUACCGCAUACGACCUACGGGUGAAAGCAGGGGAUCUUCGGACCUUGCGCGAUUGAAUGAGCCGAUGUCGGAUUAGCUAGUUGGCGGGGUAAAGGCCCACCAAGGCGACGAUCCGUAGCUGGUCUGAGAGGAUGAUCAGCCUCACUGGAACUGAGAAACGGUCCAGACUCCUACGGGAGGCAGCAGUGGGGAAUAUUGGACAAUGGGAGCAAGCCUGAUCCAGCCAUACCGCGUGGGUGAAGAAGGCCUUCGGGUUGUAAAGCCCUUUUGUUGGGAAAGAAAAGCAGCAGGUUAAUACCCCGCUGUUCUGACGGUACCCAAAGAAUAAGCACCGGCUAACUUCGUG